UUAGGGAGACCUACCCAACAGUUGUUGUGGAAGAGACAACAAUUGUCAGGUCAACCAAGGUCGUUCGAGGACUGAUGUGAGGCUUUCAAACUAGAGUUCGGUUCAGAGAAACCGAGUCGGGGCUAUUAGCUCAGGUGGUUAGAGCGCACCCCUGAUAAGGGUGAGGUCCCUGGUUCGAGUCCAGGAUGGCCCACCUGAAAGUAAGCAAAGCACAGUAGUGGAAAGACAAGUUAAAUUGAGUUCAAAAAGUUUAGCUUUAAUUUAUUGACGUCUUCAAGCGAAAGUGAUAAGCUAGAAAAGUUGAGAAAAUUCAGCACUGAGGCAAAAAGCCAAGCUGCUGGAAUAUCUCCAGCCAGAACCUUGAAGACUGCAUAAUCAUGCCAAUUAAAUUAAUUGCAGGUAGGUCAAACUAACUAAUGCAAAUUAAGCUUAGUUAGAUUUCCUAUAAGCCUAAAAAUCAACCACUGACAUAGUAACAAAAGU
rnacentral:tRNA from 1 species